UGGAUAAGGCAGAGGGACAGAGCUCGAGCGGCAGAGGAGGGGGAGGCGAUUCCGGCGAUUCCUUCUGUUCCAUGUCGAUUUCGAGCUGAUCCACUGCAGGUUAUCGAUUUCUUCCUCUUCUUCUCGUCGUCCCUGUCCCUCGCACUGGUUGGUUAUCCCUGUCCCUCGCGCUGUUUGCCUGUCGCGUUGGUUGUGCGCGUGAUUUUUGGUAGGAGCCUGCAGUGCGCCACGCGUAGUCUCCACGGCGUGGUCUGUGUGUUAUUGUUGUUGUUGUAGUCGCAUACCAAUUCCCGCCCCCGGUUUGGUUCUCGUUGCUGUUGUGUAGGUAGGCGUAGAGGCAAGUUCUUCAGUUGAUGUGGAUCCCGUAGCUGCCUCUGAAGAUCGAGUUCUGUGUUUCCACCACAAUAGGAGUGUAUGUUAAACCAAAGUUCUGCAGAGAUAUGCGCAUGAAGUUCUCCUGUGCUUUUUUUUCUACCUUAUGCGCCAUGUAUGGCUUUGCUGUAGUUUCCUACUGUAUGUUGUCCUAAUUAUUGUGCAACUUGCUUCCCUAAUUACUGUGUGGAUAUAUCGUCCUUUUAAUCACGCCUUUGGCCACAUUCUAUUCUUUGGCCACAUUCCCCAUCUUUCUAGCUAAUGUGCCAGUGUAUUUUGUUCUGCCUAAUUUCUGUGUAAUUUAUCCUGUAAUUAAUCAGGGGAACUGUGCUCUUUUUUCAGUGUAUCCCCCCAUUUCCCUCCUUUUUUGCAGUCUAAUUUUAUCCGUUAAUCUUCCAUGUAGGUUGUCAUGUAGUUACAUUGUGGUCCCGUAUAUAUUUACACUGUAGUUUGACAUGUAAUUGCUGUGUAAUUUUCACUUUUUAAUCGUGUGUAUUUUGUGCUGACAUCUGUAUUCCGAUGCGUAAUUACAGUGUAAGUUUUCCACAUUUUUACAUUGUAACUUCACUUUAUUUUUAGUGGUGUUACAGUGUAAAUUUUCCCUUAAUUACCGUGUAGUUACUCUGUAGUUUCUCUGUAGUUACACUGUAACCAGACGGUUUCUUACAGUGUAUUUUUACCCAUAAUUACUGUGUUAGUUUACACUCUAAGUUGAUGCUUUUUUAGAGUGCAACCUAUUAUUAUUGUGUAGUUUGUAGUGUAGUUACACUACAACCCAUUUCCCUUUUACGGUGUAAUUGUACCCAUAAUCACUGUGUAGGUUGUCUUGUUUUUAUGCUGCAUUCUGAUGCACUUUUACAGUGUAAUUUCACCCAUAAUUUCUGUACUGCAAUCCGAUGCCAUUUUGCACUGUAACCCGAUGCCCUUUUACAGUGUAAUUUUACCCAUAUUUACUUUGCUGUUUGUACUGUAGUUACACUAUAACCCAUAUAUUUUUACAGUGUAAUUUUCUCUUUAGUUUAAUGUUGUAAAUUUGCAUAGGUUUGCACUUCCAGUUUAAUCUCUUUAAUUGAGCCCCAUUUUCCCCUUUCGUCUGUUUAGAUGCAGCGUGUGGACUUCUGUAGAUGUUCCAUGUUCCUGUAGGUGAGAGGGCGAUCUUUAGGUGCUCAUGUACCUGUAGCUGCUCAUGUUCCUGUAGGUGAGCGGGAUUCUGUUGAUGUAGCUUGGCGGAUCUCUGUAGAUGUAGCAUGAGGGAUACCGUAGGUGUACUGGCCAAUGCCUAGCUCUUUUUUCUGCUCAUGCUGCGAUGCUCCCUGAUGCUUCUGCAUGUUUCCUGGUCAUGCCCUUAUGCUAGCUGCUCAUGUCAAGCUCUUUGUGUAUUCUAAUGAAUUCGGCUCCUGAUUUGUUGUUGCGAGGUGUAGUUCCCCUUUGUUCCAUGUUUGUUUUACUUCUAGCAGGAACGAAUUUUAAGUUCAAUUACAGUGUAAUUUUGGCUCAGCCCUUUUCAGUGUUGUCACUUGUUUGAUCAGACAUUUUCAGUGUUGUCAAAGACUUCCAGUGUUGUAGUGAAAAUUGGCCUAGUCUUACAGGGGUAAUUUCUUCUAGGGGUGAUUUUUUAUUGUAAUUACAGUGUGAUUUUCCUAGGAUGUCAUUGUAACUUUAUGUCAGUUUUACUGUGUAAUUUGUCCCAUUCCGACAGUAUUUUUGUCUCAGAUUCCAGUGUAAUUCCAGUGUAGUUUUACCCAUCAAUUCCAGUGUAAUUUUCCCCAUUAAUUCCAGUGUAAUUACAGUGUAAUUCUAGUGUAAUCCCAUUAAUUCCAGUGUAAUUCCAGCUUC